GACGAGCGCUGGCGGCGUGCCUAAUACAUGCGAGUUGAGCGAUGAAGAUUGGUGCUUGCACCAAUUUGAAGAGCAGCGAACGGGUGAGUAACGCGUGGGGAAUCUGCCUUUGAGCGGGGGACAACAUUUGGAAACGAAUGCUAAUACCGCAUAACAACUUUAAACAUAAGUUUUAAGUUUGAAAGAUGCAAUUGCAUCACUCAAAGAUGAUCCCGCGUUGUAUUAGCUAGUUGGUGAGGUAAAGGCUCACCAAGGCGAUGAUACAUAGCCGACCUGAGAGGGUGAUCGGCCACAUUGGGACUGAGACACGGCCCAAACUCCUACGGGAGGCAGCAGUAGGGAAUCUUCGGCAAUGGACGAAAGUCUGACCGAGCAACGCCGCGUGAGUGAAGAAGGUUUUCGGAUCGUAAAACUCUGUUGGUAGAGAAGAACGUUGGUGAGAGUGGAAAGCUCAUCAAGUGACGGUAACUACCCAGAAAGGGACGGCUAACUACGUG
rnacentral:rRNA from 1 species